CCUACGGGCGGCAGCAGUGAGGAAUAUUGGUCAAUGGACGAGAGUCUGAACCAGCCAAGUAGCGUGAAGGAUGACUGCCCUAUGGGUUGUAAACUUCUUUUAUAUGGGAAUAAAAUGUUCCACGUGUGGGAUUUUGUAUGUACCAUAUGAAUACGGAUCGGCUAACUCCGUGCCAGCAGCCGCGGUAAUACUGAGGAUCCGAGCGUUAUCCGGAUUUAUUGGGUUUAAAGGGAGCGUAGGUGGAUUGUUAAGUCAGUUGUGAAAGUUUGCGGCUCAACCGUAAAAUUGCAGUUGAAACUGGCAGUCGUGAGUACAGUAGAGGUGGGCGGAAGUCGUGGUGGAGCGGUGAAAUGCUGAGAUAUCACGAAGAACUCCGAUUGCGAAGGCAGUUCACUGGACUGCAACUGACACUGAGGCUCGAAAGUGUGGGUAUCAAACAGGAUGAGAUACCCCAGUAGUC
rnacentral:rRNA from 1 species